rnacentral:tRNA from 1 species
GGGGUUGUGGCUCAGUGGUAGAGCACUCGCCUAGCAUGUGUAAGGCCCUGGGUUCGAUCCCCAGAACCACA